GAUGAACGCUGGCGGCGUGCCUAAUACAUGCAAGUCGAGCGAACGGACGAGAAUCUUGCUUCUCUGAUGUUAGCGGCGGACGGGUGAGUAACACGUGGAUAACCUACCUAUAAGACUGGGAUAACUUCGGGAAACCGGAGCUAAUACCGGAUAAUAUUUUGAACCGCAUGGUUCAAAGGUGAAAGACGGUCUUGCUGUCACUUAUAGAUGGAUCCUCGCUGCAUUAGCUAGUUGGUAAGGUAACGGCUUACCAAGGCAACGAUGCAUAGCCGACCUGAGAGGGUGAUCGGCCACACUGGAACUGAGACACGGUCCAGACUCCUACGGGAGGCAGCAGUAGGGAAUCUUCCGCAAUGGGCGAAAGCCUGACGGAGCAACGCCGCGUGAGUGAUGAAGGUCUUCGGAUCGUAAAACUCUGUUAGUAGGGAAGAACAGAUGUGUAAGUAACUGUGCACAUCUUGACGGUACCUAAUCAGAAAGCCACGGCUAACUACGUG
rnacentral:rRNA from 1 species